rnacentral:rRNA from 1 species
AUUGAACGCUGGCGGCAUGCUUUACACAUGCAAGUCGAACGGUAACAGGCCUUCGGGUGCUGACGAGUGGCGAACGGGUGAGUAAUGCAUCGGAACGUACCCAGAGGUGGGGGAUAACGCAGCGAAAGCUGUGCUAAUACCGCAUGUGAUCUGAGGAUGAAAGCGGGGGACCGAGCAGCAAUGUUUGGCCUCGCGCCUUUGGAGCGGCCGAUGUCGGAUUAGCUAGUUGGUGGGGUAAAGGCCUACCAAGGCGACGAUCCGUAGCUGGUCUGAGGGGACGACCAGCCACAAUGGGACUGAGACACGGCCCAGACUCCUACGGGAGGCAGCAGUGGGGAAUUUUGGACAAUGGGCGCAAGCCUGAUCCAGCAAUGCCGCGUGCGGGAAGAAGGCCUUCGGGUUGUAAACCGCUUUUGGCAGGAACGAAACGGUGUCCGCUAAUACCGGGCGCUAAUGACGGUACCUGCAGAAUAAGCACCGGCUAACUACGUG